rnacentral:rRNA from 1 species
UUGGGGGGGUGCCUAAUACAUGCAAGUCGAGCGGACAGAUGGGAGCUUGCUCCCUGAUGUUAGCGGCGGACGGGUGAGUAACACGUGGGUAACCUGCCUGUAAGACUGGGAUAACUCCGGGAAACCGGGGCUAAUACCGGAUGGUUGUUUGAACCGCAUGGUUCAAACAUAAAAGGUGGCUUCGGCUACCACUUACAGAUGGACCCGCGGCGCAUUAGCUAGUUGGUGAGGUAACGGCUCACCAAGGCAACGAUGCGUAGCCGACCUGAGAGGGUGAUCGGCCACACUGGGACUGAGACACGGUCCAGCUCCUACGGGA